UACGGAGGGUGCAAACGUUGCUCGGAAUCAUUGGGCGUAAAGCGCACGUAGGCGGUCCGUUAAGUCGGGAGUGAAAUCCCUCGGCUCAACCGAGGAAGUGCUUUCGAAACUGGCAGACUUGAAUACUGGAGAGGAUCGCGGAAUUCCCGGUGUAGAGGUGAAAUUCGUAGAUAUCGGGAGGAACACCAGUGGCGAAGGCGGCGAUCUGGACAGAUAUUGACGCUGAGGUGCGAAAGCGUGGGGAGCAAACAGG
rnacentral:rRNA from 1 species